rnacentral:misc_RNA from 1 species
AGUUGAACGAUCUCAAGAAGCUCGUUGAUUCCCUGAAGACCAAGCAGAACAUGCCACCCAGGCAGCUGCUGGAG